GGGGACGUAGCUCAGUUGGUAGAGCGCGCGCUUCGCAUCAAUUUGGAUCAGUUUGCGUGAGGUCGCGAAUUCGAUCUUCGCCGUCUCCA